GCGUGGGGUGCUAUACUGCAGUCGAGCGAAUCUGAGGGAGCUUGCUCCCAAAGAUUAGCGGCGGACGGGUGAGUAACACGUGGGUAACCUGCCUGUAAGAUUGGGAUAACUCCGGGAAACCGGAGCUAAUACCGGAUAACAUAUUGAACCGCAUGGUUCAAUAUUGAAAGAUGGUUUCGGCUAUCACUUACAGAUGGACCCGCGGCGCAUUAGCUAGUUGGUGAGGUAACGGCUCACCAAGGCGACGAUGCGUAGCCGACCUGAGAGGGUGAUCGGCCACACUGGGACUGAGACACGGCCCAGACUCCUACGGGAGGCAGCAGUAGGGAAUCUUCCGCAAUGGACGAAAGUCUGACGGAGCAACGCCGCGUGAGCGAAGAAGGCCUUCGGGUCGUAAAGCUCUGUUGUUAGGGAAGAACAAGUACGAGAGUAACUGCUCGUACCUUGACGGUACCUAACCAGAAAGCCACGGCUAACUACGUGCCAGCAGCCGCGGUAAUACGUAGGUGGCAAGCGUUGUCCGGAAUUAUUGGGCGUAAAGCGCGCGCAGGCGGUUUCUUAAGUCUGAUGUGAAAGCCCACGGCUCAACCGUGGAGGGUCAUUGGAAACUGGGGAACUUGAGUGCAGAAGAGGAGAGUGGAAUUCCACGUGUAGCGGGAAAUAUGUGCUAAAAAA
rnacentral:rRNA from 1 species